AGCGAACGCUGGCGGCAGGCCUAACACAUGCAAGUCGAACGAACCCUUCGGGGUUAGUGGCGGACGGGUGAGUAACACGUGGGAACGUGCCUUUAGGUUCGGAAUAACUCAGGGAAACUUGUGCUAAUACCGACUGUGCCCUUCGGGGGAAAGAUUUAUCGCCUUUAGAGCGGCCCGCGUCUGAUUAGCUAGUUGGUGAGGUAAUGGCUCACCAAGGCUACGAUCAGUAGCUGGUCUGAGAGGAUGACCAGCCACAUUGGGACUGAGACACGGCCCAAACUCCUACGGGAGGCAGCAGUGGGGAAUCUUGCGCAAUGGGCGAAAGCCUGACGCAGCCAUGCCGCGUGGAUGAUGAAGGUCUUAGGAUUGUAAAAUCCUUUCACCGGUGAAGAUAAUGACUGUACCCAAAGAAUAAGCACCGGCUAACUUCGUGCCAGCCGCCGCCGUAAUAC
rnacentral:rRNA from 1 species